UGGGGAGUACUGUCGCAAGGCUGAAACCCAAAACAUUAGACGGUCACGGAAACCAGCAGUGAAGCAUGUUAUUUAAUACGAUGAUCCGCGUACAACCUUACCACUUCUUGAAUGUCCUUUUCUGUAAAAAGAAAAGGCCUAUUUAAUUAAAAAACUUUAAAACAUUAAUUAAAUUUGGAUAAAUACAACAGGCGUUGCAUGGCUGUCUUCAGUUCGUGUCGUGAGAUGUCAGGUUCAUUCCGGUCAACGAAUGAAACCCUUCUUUCUUAAUUUUGCUUUUUUUUUAUUUAUUUAAAUUAAAUUUAUUAAGAUGACCCUUGGAAAACGAGGAUAUAAUGGGGAUUAAGACAAGUCGUCAUGGCCUUUAUGAAGUGGGCUAUAGACGUGCCACAAAAGCUUUUACAAUGGGAUGCUAAGACGUGAGUCAGCGCUAAACCUUAAAAAAAGCUAUGUUCGGAUUGUAGUCUGCAACUCGACUACAUGAAGCAGGAAUUGCUAGUAAUCGUAAAUCAGGACGUUACGGUGAAGUAUUAAAUCUGUGAUGUACUAACUACUCGUCAAGCGCGGAAAGGUGCGUGGCCCCGAAGAGGUUAUCCUUAAAAGGGAUGGUUUCGACUGGUCGGCGCUGAUUCGUGUUAAGUCGAAAUAAGGUAGGUGUAGGGGAACCUGUACCUG
rnacentral:ncRNA from 1 species